UGGGUUGACAGUGAAGGGUGAGGAACAGCCUUGACAUUGAAAAACCGCAGGCUAUUAGCUCUAAACUUCUGCCUGGUAUAAUGGAAGGAACAUCGGUCUUGGAUUUAGACGAGGGCUUUAAUUUCAAGGAGCUCACAUUCAAAUGGAGCAGAAAGGCACUGAACCCAGAAACAAAUAAUUCUCUAGGAUGGUGGACACAUGGGAAUAAGUGAGAGGAUAACACCCAUUUUGCAGAGGAGGAGAUGGAUAUUCAGAGAGGCUGGAAGUGCAUUUGCUAAAGAACCUCACUUCUACCGAUCUCAUUUUCCACGCACUUACAAACGGACCAGAGGUUGCAAAAGUGAGUCUCUCCUCGCUUCUACCGAUCUCAUUUUCCACGCACUUACAAACGGACCAGUGGUUGCAAAAAUAGGAAAACCAAGGCACAGCGAGGGAAAAUUUGCCUAAAAAUCACACAGUUGGUUGGAAGUGAAGCCAGGAUUCCAGCCCAGGUCUGUGUGAUUCCAGCACCUGGACCCUGGACCACCGAGUUCACAGAGAAGGGACAUUUCUGCAGGGGAGAGCUGUGGUCAAAGAGAGGAAUAAAGCUUAGAAAGAGGAAGUUCGUGGGUUGCAAAGUGAGUAAUGGCUGCAUCUGGGAGCUGAUCAAAGGUGGCCAGCCAAGUUGAGUAGCCAGUUCGGUGUAUGAGACUUAACAACACUGUUUCCCCGGCCAUGGAAGGAGUCUUGAGCAGAGUGUGAGAAUGGCCAGGUGGCGGAAGUGUCUGAGAAGAUCCUGCAUCGAUCCAGAAGCAGUGGGAUAAGGAAGGAGCACUGGAUGGAAGUCAGGUGUCCUGGGGCCCAGCGCUGGCCCUGCCACACAUGGUGGAAGCAGAACCCUGCUGCCCGUGUCUGGGUGGGCGAGAGACUGGGGAAACACGGCCAGGAAGCAGCCCGGCAGAUGGGGGCUGAGCGCACUGGCAGGGGCAGGAGGAGCUGCAGAUCUUUUCUCAGUUGAGCUUCAGAUGAGACCACAGCCCCAGCCAGCUUCUUAAGUGCAGCCUCAUAAGAAACCGUAAGCAGAGAACCAAGAUAAACCAUGCCUGAACUCCUGAUCCACAGAAACUGUGAAAUAGUAAGUGUGUAUUGUUUUAAGCCUUGAAGCCUGUGGGAAUAUAUAUAGUAACGUGUAACUAAUAUGGCAGGGAAGGACAGGUUGCCAACCUUUGGAAUUCUAUGGGUCUACUUUAGAAUGAGAAUUUGUGGGUCUCUCACCCCACGAGACAGCAGAGGACCUGGGUUCCAAAGGUUUUCCUUUUCUGUCUCCCCGAUGUUGAGGUCUUGCAGGCAGGAACUAUGUGUAUGCUCCCAGUGCUCUGUCCAGUGUGCUGCACAGCCUGGGUGACCCAUCAUUAUUUACUGAAUGCUAAAUUGAUGAGUGGGACCCAAUGCUCUUCAUAGGAUCAGGGGAAACCCAGCUGGAAUACACCACAAGCAGGACUUGAAGCUCCUCAGGAACAAGGUCAGAGGCUAGGGCUAUAAUAGCUGUUUUGUCUCUUUUUAUGAAAAGCUUUUACUGAGAAGUAAGAGCAUGGUUCCAGGCCAUGACAGUGACACCACGAGUGUGUGCUGGUCUCAAGGGAGGCUUAAGUAUUAAGGGCAGUGCAGGGUGGUGACUAGUUGUGGCACAAGAGUGUCGGAGCCCAUCAGGUUUGACCCAAGAUCCUGACUGAGUCCUUCCUGGUUCCUUUCAUUGUUAAGCCUGUUUUCUAUCUGUAAAAUGGGGUUAACAAUGGUCCUAUUGGCUGGGCAUGGUGGCUCAUGCUUGUAAUCCCAACACUUUGGGAAGCCAAGGUGGGUGGAUCACUCGAGGUCAGGAGUUUGAGACCAGCCUGACUAACAUAGUGAAACCCCAUCUCUACUAAAAAUACAAAAAUCAGCUGGGUGUGGUGGUGGGCACCUGUAGUCCCAGCUACUCGGGAGGCUGAGACUGGAGAAUGGCUUGAACCCAGGAGGCAAAGGUUACAGUGAGCAGAGAUGGCACCACUGCACUCCAGCCUGGGCAACAGAGCGAGAUUGUCUCAAGAAACAUAAACAGAAACAAGCAAUGGUCCUUAUCUUGUGGGUUUGUCAUGAGGAUGAAUGAACACAUAAAAUUCUUAGCACAUAGUAAAUGCUCAGUUAAUACUUUUCACAGGAAACAUGUUUGGAAAGAUCAGCUAAAUGUAAGUUGGUGACUCCCACGCAGCUAAAAUUGUGUACAUUGGAGCCUGAUUUUCUUUUCCUGGGGCCUCAGAAAGCUGGUUCUACCCAGCACAUGCCAGAUAGAUGAGGAAGCUUGGGGAGAGGGGCCUGGGAAGGAAGGUGGGUGAUGCUGUCUAAGAAGUCAAUACUUCCUCUUUCUCUUUCUUAGAGAAGUACUGCUGCCCAGACCCAAAGAAUUACUGGAAACAGAACUAGUCUGAUAUUAAACAGAGUAGUAACCAUGCACUUGAGAUAAUUUGAGGGCCACACAGAAUGUCCACCUACCCCCAGACUCACCUUGUAUCAGUCUAUUCUCACACUGCUAUAAAAGACUACUUGAGAUUGGGUAAUUUAUGAAAAAAAGAGGUUUAAUUGACUCUCAGUUCUGCAGGCUAUACAGGAAGCAUGGAGGCCUCAGGAAACUUACAAUCAUGGGGGAAGGGUAAAGGGGAAGCAGGCAUGUCUUCACAUGGCGGCAGAAGAGAGAGCAAAGGGGGAAGUGCUAAACACUUUUAAACAAUCAGACCUCGGGAGAACUCACUCACUAUCAUGAGAACAGCAAGGGGGAUGUCUGCCUCAUGAUCGAAUCACUUCCCACCAGGCCCCUCUUCCAACACAUGGGAAUUACAAUUCUACAUGUGAUUUGGGUGGGGACACAGAGUCACAUAUCACACCCUUAGGUCUAUCAUUGUGCCUGGGAGUUCCACCAUUCAACCUGCUUCUAAAGGUCCCUGGGAAAUGUAAUUUGUCAGCUUAAACUCAACCACAUCUAUUCAGAGCCUAUUGCAUGUAAUCUGCUCUAGGGGAAAGAUCUAUAAACGUUUUCUUUAUACUUUACACGGUGCUUUUAUACAGCUAAUUUCAUCACUGCAAUAAUGUUAUGAGGUAGGUAUUUAUGAUGAUUCCCAUUUUGCAGAGGAAGAAACUCAGGCCCAGAGAGGUUAAGGGGCUUAUUGGGAGGCCAGGCAGAUGUCAACUGGCAGGGCUAGAAAGCACAUCUGGAAAGCACAUCUGAAAACUCCAAGUUGUUGGUGUUUUCUUGCUCAUCUCAGCUGCUCUCAGGAAGUUUACAGGAAACAGACAAAUCAGCCAAUCAAGAAAUGGUCAAGGCUUUCAAACUGGGUUCCCUAGUAUUCCCCUGAGGUCUCCUGAGUGUUAAGAGGUAAGAGAGGGUUGGAUAGCGUGCGUGGCAGUAGGUCUUGGGCUCCCCAACACACUUUGGCAGGAUCUCCUCUUUCUUCUGCCUUUAGAGGUAAAAGUGUUCGAUAUUUCAGGGGAGAUAAUACAACAGUAAAACCGAACAAGAAUUUCUUGAAUAUCUAUUGUGCAUUCAGCCUGGAGUGGGGUGGGGAGGAAGGUAGCUUCAGGCAGUAUAAGAAGAGCUUACAAAACAACCCACAUGUGAAAACUUGAAGACUGAUAAGAAAUUAAAUAACGGCUCAGUAUAGCAACAGAAGCACUGUCCCAUAGCCAUGUCUGGUUCCCUAAUUAAUGACUUCGGCAGUGACUUGGGUGGUCAAGAGAGAGCCGGGAAGUGUUGAGCUGAGUAACCCAGCCCCACCCAUGAUCAGCAAUAGGGCACAGGAGCCCGGAGCGAUGAAACCUGGGCUGGACAAGUUUUGACAGAGAGAAGAUACUCAGGAAGGGCCUCAUUGGGAGGUGGUGAGGGUGGGUUAGGUGCAGUAUCACAGCAACCAGCCCCUGAAGAGAGGGCAACACCAAAGCCUGGUGUUUGUCUCCAACCACUGCAGGGUUGCACUCUGCAGAUGACGACUCACCCUUGGUAAAGGGCUCCCCAUCCCUGCCUGAUAUGGUUUGGAUUUGUGUCCCUGCCCAAAUCUGUUGUCGAAUUUAAUCCCCAGUGUUAGAGGAGGGGCCUGGUGGGACAUGACUGAAUCAUGGGGGCGGAUUUCCUCCUUGCUGCUCUCACCAUAGCGAGUGAGUUCUCAUGAGAUCUGGUUGUUUAAAAGUGUGUAGUACCUUCCCCUUCACUCUCUUCCUCCUUCUCUGGCCAUGUAAGACGUGCCUGCUUGCCCUUCCCCUUCUGCCAUGAUUGUAAGUUUCCCAAGGCUUCCCCAGUCAUGCCUUCUGUACAGCCUGGGGAACUCUGAGUCAAUUAAACCUCUUUUCUUUAUAAAUUACCCAGUCUCAGGUAGUUCUUUAUAACAACGUGAGAAUGGAGAAACACACUGCCUCCCUCACCCCAUCGGGUCUCCCUUCUGCUCACUGGCACAUGGGAUUCUGCUGGGCAGAGGCCAUCCGAUGAAUGCUCCAACAGACUGGGUUGACAUCCCAGCCUUGCCCCUCUGUAACUGAAAUAUGUGGAUAAUAAUAACACCCAUCUUACAGGGCUGCUUGGAUAGUGAACUAGAUCAUGCACAUAAAGAGCCUGGCACCAUUAGUUCCUGGCACAUGCAAGUUCUCAAUAAAUGUUGUUGGCUAUUAUCUGCAGCUACAUUCAACAUGGGCAGGCUGGGAGCAAAGCUCUUCUUGGCUUUAAUUCACUCAUUUAAUAAGCAUUUAAUGAGCACCUACUCUGUGCCAGGCACUGCACUGGGAGCUGAGGCCAGAGACUGAAAAGUUCAUUUUCUUUAAGUAGCUCCCAGUCUAUUGGGAAAGCAGAAGUGUGAACCAUUCUUAUUCUGUGUGAUUAUUGAAACGUCUGCUUGGUAGUAAUGAUUAUAGUUAACAUGUGUUGGGUACUUGCCAUGUGCCAGUUAUGAAGAACUUUAUAGGUAUUAUUAUCUCAUUUGAUCCUUACGAGGUAAGACUUGAUCCUCCAUUUUACAGAGGGGAAACUGAGGCUCUGAAAGGCUCUGAAUGGUCAUGUCUGGGUUUCCAAUCAAGGAUGGAGGAGAGUUCACCAGGAGGCAGAG
rnacentral:lncRNA from 10 species